AUUUCUGCUUGGAGAUUGCCUUCUGUGGGGUGUUUGGUGAGUUCUAAUCUUCAGAAAGGGGUUGUACUUCAGGUACCUGGGGCUCUAGACAGCCUGACCUAGUGGAGUCUGUCUCUUGCCUGUGGCACGGGUGUUGGAACUGGAUGAUCUUUAACAUCCUUUCAGAUCAAAAAAUAUGUUAUGAUUCCCAGAACUUAGGCAAUAGUCAUUGGAGCAGUAAAUCACUCUUAUCACAGUUACCAGAAGUCUCAGUUACCCAUACAGGAGGAAAGUUUAGAUUCAUUUACAGUGAAUCCCUCAAACAGGAGUGAGUCCUAAUCAACCAUAAAAACUGGAGGCUGGAUUUCUUGCUGUGAAAAGGUGCCAAGCCAUUUUCUUUGAAAAUUUUGAUUGGUAAAAAUCCAAAACGUUGUAUUAAAAGAGUAAGGUGUCCUUCUUUAAAGUCUUUAAAUACAGCUGUCUGUCAUGAAGUGUACUUGCUGCUAAAAUCUGAAUCACUUUGAGCCUACACAGACACCCAAGAUGAUCUUUAUCUGAAAUAGUCUCUGCAGAGUCACUAUCUGUAGAUCACUGUUUCUGAUUUUUUUACACAGGCUUUAAAGCAAGUAUUGAAAGGAGGUGCACUUUUUUCCUACAGCUGGUCAUAGACUGUUUCAUUUGGAAGGAUUUUACAAAGUAUUCUACUAUUAGUUGGUCACUUAGUACCUGAAGGAUAUCUUAGGCUUGAGUUGAUGGACCUCAGUCUUUCCCAUCUAAUAAACAGCGUUAAUAUCCCCAAAAUGUUUGCAGAUAUGAAAAGAUCUUGGUAGUGGAAAGACUGCUGGAGAGCAAGCAGAGCAAAUACUAACUUAAAAUGAGGUUUUCUUGAAUCAAGAUUUAACCUUACCAGGUAUAGAAGUGAAACUUAAAGUUUCAUUCUAAUUUUGCUUCUGGCAUCACAGUUUUGGAAUGCAACCUCAACAAAGAGAAUUGGAUAAAAUACCUCUUUGAGAUUUUUCAAGAAUUCCUAAAAUCCUUGUAUUUCUAAUUAUUAGUUCAUUCACAAUCUCAUUAAUCUGGUUACCAAGAGACUGUUUUUUGUUCUCUCAUCCCAAGAAACAAUUUCUUGCAAUUUUCUGCAUUUAUUUAUUUUUUAAAAUAUUACUAUUCCAACACGUUAAUCAGAAUCACGGAGUCAUCUAAGUUGGAAAACACCUGGAAGAUCAUCUAGUAGUUCCUUACAUCCUUUCUUAUAUGUCCAAACAAUCAAUUUCGGUAAAGGAUUUCUGCAAAAUGUUUAUGUAAGAAAUCUGUGAAGUGUUUACUGUCAGCUUCUGAAAUUGUAUUUCUGCCUUCAGGCUUCAGUUAGCAGUAGAAAUCAUUAAAGAAGUUUUACAGAAUAAAAAGCAAAAGCCUUUGUUAAUGCAAAUUUGAAAUAAGAUUCUGGUCAUUGAAAACCCGCAAGUUAAUGCAGAGAUUCAAACUCACUGAUGGCACUGAAUUAUGAUACUCGAUGUAAAACCUUAAUACUGAACUGCUGUACCCUGACUAUUUGUAUUAAACUAUUAGAAAUUAAUC
ensembl:lncRNA